UNGAAAAAGCCCUCCUCAUCCAGCCU
rnacentral:piRNA from 1 species